AAUAAUGGUGAAUGUUGGCCUACCCCAUUAGGCCAGCGCGUUAGUCUAUAACCGUAAUCUCUAUAUUGUCCGCAACCUUGCGAGCAAGUCCACAGCUUGGUAGUAUGGAUGAGGAGUGACAGGUACGCGCCCUGUCACCAGGUGAGUCGACAGAUCAGGCAGAAAGACAAACCAUUGUACAAUACAAGUUAAAAGGCGUGGACUUGAUUCUUAGUUAAAGCAGAUUAAACACUAGUGAAAAUAACUUAAAAUUGAACUUAAAACUAGUGAAACAAAGGAGAAACUUAGUAUCUAUUAUAUACAUGCAGAAUUGGUAACCUACAUUACUACGAGCUACAUCUAAACGAACAUUAACAGUGCAGUGCCCAUAACGGUAAGACAGAUUUGCUAAUUUCCCUAAAAUAUCAAAAUACUAGUUGUAAUGUUGUGAACAUAAAACUUAAAUCACUAGAUUGUGCUGAGGUCACUAUAUACCCUCGAAAGUUGCCUACAUCAAAGCGCAAAUUACGGAAUUCGAACUCAUAAGACUGAAAGGUUAGGAAAAUAGACAUUUGACCGACAUCAGACUGACAUUUGAGCAGGAAAGGGAACUAAACGUAAGUAAAAUUACUGAAAAACUUAUUUUCCUAAAACACAAACAUAAAAAUUUGAACCCUCUGAAAUGGGAUACAGAGGUUCACCUAACGCACUCCACGUAGCACACAACCAAUAUGAAUUAU
rnacentral:lncRNA from 1 species